rnacentral:rRNA from 1 species
UACGGAGGGUGCAAGCGUUAUCCGGAUUCACUGGGUUUAAAGGGUGCGUAGGUGGGUUGGUAAGUCAGUGGUGAAAUCCCCGAGCUUAACUUGGGAACUGCCAUUGAUACUAUUAAUCUUGAAUACCGUGGAGGUUAGCGGAAUAUGUCAUGUAGCGGUGAAAUGCUUAGAUAUGACAUAGAACACCAAUUGCGAAGGCAGCUUACUACACAGUUAUUGACACUGAGGCACGAAAGCGUGGGGAUCAAACAGG